CCCCGCGCCGGUGAUGAAGUCCACCGCAACCGCUCCUUCCGGGGCUGAUGACUUCUGGCAGAAC
rnacentral:ncRNA from 2 species